UGGGGAAUUUUGGACAAUGGGCGCAAGCCUGAUCCAGCAAUGCCGCGUGCAGGAUGAAGGCCUUCGGGUUGUAAACUGCUUUUGUACGGAACGAAACGACUCUGGUUAAUACCUGGGGCUAAUGACGGUACCGUAAGAAUAAGCACCGGCUAACUACGUGCCAGCAGCCGCGGUAAUACGUAGGGUGCGAGCGUUAAUCGGAAUUACUGGGCGUAAAGCGUGGGCAGGCGGUUAUAUAAGACAGAUGUGAAAUCCCCGGGCUCAACCUGGGAACUGCAUUUGUGACUGUAUAGCUAGAGUACGGCAGAGGGGGAUGGAAUUCCGCGUGUAGCAGUGAAAUGCGUAGAUAUGCGGAGGAACACCGAUGGCGAAGGCAAUCCCCUGGGCCUGUACUGACGCUCAUGCACGAAAGCGUGGGGAGCAAACA
rnacentral:rRNA from 1 species